UAAGCCCAUUUUUUUUAUCUAUUAUCCAUUUCAUAUCCAUUUUUCAUUAGCAAAUACCCAUACCCAUCUUUGGCAUCCAAAUCCAAUUUUAAUCUCCAUAUCCAAUUUCAUUGUCCAAUUCACUUUGGUUAUCCAUUUUUACAAUUUGAUCCAUUUUUACAAUUGGGUCCAUUAGACCAUUUUUUGUUCAAAUCCAUUAUCCAUUAUCAAUACAAAAAUCCAUAUCCAAAAUCCAAAUUCCUUAAAGCCCAGUAACAUCUAAUCCAAAUUGAUUUUAUUUUAAUCCAUUAACCCAUAAAUCAACUCAUUAUCCCCUUUGAAAUUGAAUCCAACUGUGUCCAAUUAAAUCCAAGUCCAAUAUCCAUUACACAAUCACAAAUCCAUACAUAAUCUUAAUUCCCACACAUUCACAUCAUCCAAUUCAACCUUUCCAUGC
rnacentral:lncRNA from 1 species